rnacentral:tRNA from 1 species
UCCGGCGUGGCGCAGUGGUAGCGCGGUCCCCUGUUAAGGGAAAGGUCGCAGGUUCGAAUCCUGCCGCCGGAGCCA